rnacentral:rRNA from 1 species
AGUGAACGCUGGCGGUAGGCCUAACACAUGCCAGUCGAACGGCAGCACAGUAAGAGCUUGCUCUUACGGGUGGCGAGUGGCGGACGGGUGAGGAAUACAUCGGAAUCUACUUUUUCGUGGGGGCUAACGUAGGGAAACUUACGCUAAUACCGCAUACGACCUACGGGUGAAAGAAGGGGAUCUUCGGACCUUGCGCGAUUGAAUGAGCCGAUGACGGAUUAGCGAGUUGGCGGGGUAAAGGCGCACCAAGGCGUCGAGCCGUAGCUGGUCUGUGAGGAUGAGCAGCCACACUGGAACUGAGACACGGUCCAGACUCCUACGGGAGGCAGCAGUGGGGAAUAUUGGACAAUGGGAGCAAGCCUGAUCCAGCCAUAACGCGUGGGUGAAGAAGGCCUUCGGGUUGUAAAGCCCUUUUGUUGGGAAAGAAAAGCAGCAGGUUAAUACCCCGCUGUUCUGACGGUACCCAAAGAAUAAGCACCGGCUAACUUCGUG